UCUGUGAAUCUAUGAGCCAUCAUUAUGCCUUUUGGGUGCCAUUAGGGUGCUUCACCUCCACCACUAUAGCUCAGUCCCAGCAAAACAGAGCAAGGUGGAGGAGGGUAGAUAGCUUGAAACUACCUAUUACCAGCUAAAGUUGCUUAGGUAACAAUGGUUCGCUUGUGAAUAGCAGCGUAAUUAUAGUGGUGCCGGUUAGGCUACCAGUUGUCUGCCUAUUCAUGAUAAGGCCUAUUCUUUAGGGGCUGCUGAUAACUCUUCUAUAAACAAAUGCUCCAGUUUUAAACUAAACAGGCCAAGGCAAAACUGAAAAAAAUAGCGUGCACAUGAGAAUUAUUUAAUCCUGUUUCAUAUUUUUGGGAAAACAGAAUGACUUUAGCUUCUUGGGUCUGGUUUAUUUUAACAUUCUGCAAGUGCAAAAGGAAUGAAAAAAAUGUUUAUGAAAUAAAAAACCUCUGAUUAAAAAACCCCAAAUCUCUCUCUAGUUAGUCCAAUUAUAAUCAAACUCUUUAAGAUUACAUAGAAAUAUAGUAGAGAUGUUAACAAUGGUAACUGAACAGCUCAGUGUCUGUAUAGGUAGUGCUAUCUACAGUGUCUUAGCAAGCAGACUUUCACAAGUUGGCAAGUACCAACAGCCAAAUUAACACAAUACACUGUAAUGGCUCAGAGCAAGCCAAUGGUCUGAGAAGGACCACCAAGAACUUGCCUGACAGCCCGCCCCCCAAGGGCCCUGGAAGGAGACCUUAUAAUUCAUGGCAUAAAUAUGUGUUUUCAGCUGCAGAACAGCAAUUUAAGCAAUGGACAGUAAAGUUGUCAAGAGCAGCAAUUCCAGUCAAUACAUGCAUGAUUUUGAUCAAAGGGAUUUAUCUGGAUAAGUAUCCCAACAUUUUACAUCUCUAUCUAAGCCAAAAUAAAUAUUGAAUGUGGAACAAAUGUUUUAGUUAAUUUUAUCCUUUAACCAUUAUUCAGCAUUUCCCACAAUUCCCAAAGGCUACACUUGCACUAAGACUUGCACUCCAUUGCACUAUGCAGGACUGUUUUUUUCUUGGGGAUAAAAAGGGGAGAAGUGCAUGCUCCAUAGACAUGAAUGAAAUUUGCAGAGAGGAGUCAGGCAUGUGGGUGAACUUUAGUAGAAAGUAGUCAGAAGAAAGGCUCUUUAGUUUAAACAUGCAGGUUUCCAGAAUUCCAUUUCCCCCUUUACAUAUUUGUACAGCCAAGUGUUUUAAGGCCUAGCUAUCCCCUUGAACAUGAAGGAAGCAUGAAUGGAAGUUACAUGCUCACAUCAAACACAAAAUAGAAAACUCUGUGUUUGAAGUUGUGGAAGUGAUCAACAUAAGUAAAUUCCUGAGAUCCCAGAGCAGAUGAAUAUAGCAGAGUGGGGCAUAGGCUUUUUUAGAAGUUGAACACACUUCCAGGCCCAAAGCACCACCAAUAAAUGUGAUGACAAAAACCCCUUGCAUGUCAUACAUAUCCUAGACCAUUGUAGCUACAGCAGUUUUCCAACUCUACUAUAACUGAGCGAGUAAUUUUUUAUAUUGUCUGAAGUAGCCUAAUGUUUGGAGAAACUCUAGCUCUUUCCUGAAGAUUUUAUUUAUCCCCAAUGAAAAGAAUUAGGCUGAGAUGGAAAAUGAUGACAAGAAACUUGAAAAUUAUUCAAAGUUAUCCCUAUACAAUGAUUAUUGUUUUAAAUAAUUAGUUUAGUAUUUUAUUUUCAACCAAAAAUGCUUGACUAGAGUAAACGUACACGGCCUGGGCAAAUAAGCUAAUAUGUGGCUUACAAAUCACAAUAGUAAGGCACUGUCUGUGUUGUUAGGAGAAUAUUACUUUUUUAUAUGCUUGCAUAUAACAGAACAUAUUUUUUUCUCACAAAGAACAGGAGGAGGUAUUAUAUAAAUAGUAUUGAAUACAGUCCAAAUUGCUGGUUGGAAUUGGAGAAUGAUCUAUAAAUAGGUAUGUAGCAUAAUAGUAAUUUUCUAUUUCAUUGUACUGAAGCUGCUGAAAACUGUUGAAAGCGUCUGGUUACAGAAUCAUAAAUUCUGCAAUUACAAUUCAUAAAUUAGACUGAAGUCUUUCUCUAACGGCUGUGACUGAAGUCUGUCCUUGGGAGAACACGUGGAGCUCCUACUGACUUUGAUGCGUGUGCAGUGGAGUGCUUGUCAAACUACUGUUUCAAAGGGAGAUUGAUAUUGACCUGGCUCAAAUUGUGAGUGCCAUUUUGCAUGCCACGGGACUUGGAUACAAUACAAUUUUCCAUGCACAACAACUUAGCCUCUUGAACACAAAAUGCAUUUACAUGCCGGGUGAGUAAUUUGGUAUGAUUUAGAUCCACAAAGGAGCCAUGUCAAGGUAAGCGUGGACAUUUGGUUCCCUGGGGACUAGUAGCAAUAGCAUACCCUGUGAUGUUGCUGCUUGUCCCCAGGGAAUGCCUGUGCCACGUGCAUUCUGGCGUGUGGCAGGUUACCUCAGGUGGGGUAGGGAAGGCUGGGACCAGCAUUGGUACUGGUUCCAGCAGACAUACCUGGAGUCCUGGGAGCCAGAGAAGCUGCAGCCACAGUGCUCCUAGAGCUGGGAGCCUGCUGGUGGCCGGAGUGUGGCUCUGACUGGCCAGACUCCAGUUCUGGGCAGUGCAAGUUGCUGCCAUGUGCGCCACCCUGCUUUUUUCUCUGCGCAGGUUUUUCUGACCUUGAGAUACUAGCAGCAUGGGGAAUGCCUGACUGUGUCGUGUGUGGCGCCGCAGACAGGUUUCUGGCACUGCAUACUGCAAAGCCGUGCUCAUCUGGACGCAGCCAGAGUUUCCAGAUUUAAUUGUAUUUAAUUUAUUUAAGAGCUGCUGCCUUUCUUGAAGGUGGGCUGGCUGUAAAAGAACCAUACAACAGUCAGGAACGUGCUAGGCCUCUGCUUCUGAAUUAAAGCAAGAGACAUUGGGGAAGGCUUCACUCGUUCUUUUUUUUACAUCUUAAAUUUUUAACUUUUUAACAUUUUAAUUUGAUUUUCUAAUGUCUUAAACUUCUACAUUUCUUUAAGACAAGGAUCUGAUUUUCUUCUUGCUUAUGCCAGUAAAAAUGGAGAAUUGCUUCACUGAGAUCAAUAAGGUUACACCAGAGUAAAAUAGGUGUUAGUGGGUGCAGCUACAUGUCCUAUUCGCAUGAUGAAAUAAAUUCUGGCACAGUUUGCACCUGAGUCAGCUGCUCUUGAGUGCAGCAUCUGCACAUGAGCCUGGGACCGCAACAGUUUGAGC